rnacentral:lncRNA from 1 species
GGAAUAUUAAAAAAAAAUGAAAAAGAAAUAUAAGGCUACUAGGGUUUGGUGUUUCGUACAACUGAAUGAUCCAAUCCUUAGAUCUCUUCUAAGUCUCCUCUCUACAAAUUGUCUUUGUUCUACAAAAUUUAUCAUAUUUUAUUUCAUGUUCGAUGAAGAUGAUGAAAGCUGCAACAAUUCACAGAAGAGGCGGAUUUCCAGUUUGUGCGUGAAUUUAACGCGAUGAGUACAGACUUAAUUUGGGGGAUUUUGACACGAAAUUUAGUCAACAAAUUCCCGAUUUAGAAAUUAAUUGGUGUUGUAUUAGUUCGUUAGAUUCACGCACAAACUCGAAAUCUGUCUUUUCGUUUUCGGUUUCGAUAUUACCAAUCUGUUAUAUUCUAAAUCGCGACGGCUGGGGAAGGCAAUUUCUAACCAGCCAGGUUUGUUUUCUAAUUUGAUCUGUUUUAUUUUAAUAAUUAUUUUUUGAUCUUGAUUUGGUUAAUAAAUGGAGUUCCUAGAUUGUCGAAUCUGCUGGAAAAAAGAUGACUAGAAUUAGUAAAACUGAGAUUAAUCUUGUUGUUAUUAGAUAUUUAUAUUUCCUUAGCAAAUGAAUAUGAUGCACAUGAUAAACAUGCUUUUCUUUUGUGAAAGUUAGGAACUUUACAUGGAAUAUAUUUUUCAAUUCGAGAUGGUUUCAUUUUUUCUUAUAGUUUUGCUGAGAUUGAAAGGAAUUGCAAAUCCUUUUCUCAGCAUUUGAAGCUAAUAAUGAGGAUAGUCCAUAGAGAUAUAAGCUGCAGAUUAGUUUUUGGGGGAGAUGGACAGUGUAUAUAUUUGGGUUUGUCGGUAGAGAUUAUGAGAAUUGAUUUUUUGACGAGAGAAAAGUGGUCCUGUGAGUGAGGAAGUAAAAGAUGAAGGCUGGAAAAGUGAAAUAACGGUCAAAAAAUUGAUUUUUUUGGGGUUGAAAAUUGUUACCAAACGGGGUAUAGCUAAGCUUAAUAAAUUUACUUAUAAGUGAAAAGGUGGAGUUGAAAUACACAAUUUUUCUUGUUAACUGCCCAAAAAAUGUAAAAUUUUUAUGCUAUCCAAACAUGUUUAAUUCACUUACAAGCAAAGCUCAACUUGCUCAGAAUUAUGUUCCUUUAUGAUUUGAUUGUUUGAUUACAAAGUGGUACCUUAUACUUAUAUUAAUUACGUUUAUUUUCAGAUUUGAUUCAUAGUUGAAAUUCACUCGUGAUGUUUUAUACUGAAAAUUUACUGAUGCAAUGAUUUGAUUAGUCUGUGUGUGUGUUUUUUUUUUUAAGAACAUUGCCUGAAAUGGAAGAAUACAUUUAUGUUUUUGUCUUGUGAAAGAUAACGCUGAAUAUGAAGUAUGCCAGAAAUUUUUGCAAAAAACUUGUUCAAUAGUCAUUAAUUCUUCUGGCCGACAUGGAAAUGUAGGGGAUAAUAUUAUUCCCUUUCUUCUACCUACAUGGGAGGAAGUGCUUCGAGUCCUACUUGUUUUCGGUGUAACUUCAUCUACACCUUCCCCUGUUGUCCACUUCCUUGAUCUAUAUGGAUGCUUAAAUUUGAUCGACAUUUUUCGGUUCAAGAGGUUCAUUUUACACAUUCACGUAAUACGAUAUUGGAUGAUUCGACAUAUGGUAACUUCUUACUUUCAUUUAUACUGUGAGAUUUGAAUCAUGUAGAUGGAAUUUCUGACAUUGUUAACCGUUUGUUUUAGGUUUCAUGAAUGUUUAUGAACCUCUUUAUGUUUGGUACACUUCAGAAUGAAUUUCUGGUGGCAAAUUUUUCAAUAUUUCAGAAUAGCCUUUGUCGUAGUCAAGGUGAAAAGUUUUCCUCCUAAAAUAUUCACGGUUGAAGACACCUUUUUGUAGAUUGAACCGAAUGUUCAAAUGCAUUUAUAUGUUCUGCAUAUCUUCCCUGUGUUUCCUUUAUUGCCUGACUGUGAGCUCUUGAGACUCUUGGCUGUAAAUUGGGGAGGAGCUUGGAAGACUCCCUGCUACUUGAGCAACUCAGGGUCUCCUGAGGAUUGGAAAUUUGGGUAGGACGAAAACACAGGAUGGGAGACUCGGGUAGAGAAGAUGAUGGGUGAAGAAGAAGAGGAUAAUAAAGGGGACCUGAAAGAUGGAAUAAGCCCACCCACACGGCCUCACCUGUCGACACUCAAUUAAGAAGGAGACUCGAAAGAAUAACUUUACGCAAGUCAAAAGUGCUUGUCAUAUUCAGCCCUUGUUUGAACCACAUUAUUUUGGGAAAAUUCAUUUUUGAAUAGUGUAUUGAUGGGAAAUGUGUGGUUAAAAAAUAAGGAAAAAUUUCGAAUUUACGUGUAAUAUUAUUUUUUUGGAGAAUGUGUGGUUGACACGAUGUUAAAUCACUGUUUAAGAAUGUAUUUUUUUCAAAUAAUGUGGAUCAAACAGGACCUCAAUAGUGUACUCUUAUUGUGACAGUAAUAGGGCUAUAGCACAAGUGCAAGACGAAUCUUAUUCGCUAAAUAUGUACGCAACUUAUGAUGUCAUUGUUCAUAACAUCGCAUUACCAUCUUUAUGGAUAUAUUGUAAUUUUUCAGUGAGUAGAAAUUUGAUUUUGUAACGUUAUUUUUUUGAAAUUUCAAGCUUAUUAUUACUUUUAAUAUAAUAUGAAUUAUUAUAGCUGAUGUUCAAGUCCAUCAACACUUAUCUGUUCAAAGACAAACUUGCAAUAAAAC